CAGUAGCCGCGGUAAUACGUAGGGUGCAAGCGUUAAUCGGAAUUACUGGGCGUAAAGCGUGCGCAGGCGGUUAUAUAAGUCAGAUGUGAAAUCCCCGGGCUCAACCUGGGAACUGCAUUUGAGACUGUAUGGCUAGAGUGUGUCAGAGGGGGGUAGAAUUCCACGUGUAGCAGUGAAAUGCGUAGAUAUGUGGAGGAAUACCGAUGGCGAAGGCAGCCCCCUGGGAUAACACUGACGCUCAUGCACGAAAGCGUGGGGAGCAAACAGGAUUAGAUACCCCUGUAGUCCCUGUCUCUUAUAC
rnacentral:rRNA from 1 species